rnacentral:rRNA from 1 species
UGCAAGUCGGAUGUGCCGCAAGGUGCAUGGCAGACGGGUGAGUAACGCGUGGGAAAUCUACCUCUUUGUGGGGAAUAACGCUCCGAAAGGAGUGGUAAUACCGCAUGAGACCUUUGGCUGGGAUGCUGGAGGUGAAACCUGGGGACCGCAAGGCCUGGGGCAAGGAGAGGAUCCUGCGUCUGAUUAGCUAGUUGGCGGGGUAAUGGCCCACCAAGGCGACGAUCAGUAGCCGGCCUGAGAGGGUGAUCGGCCACACUGGAACUGAGACACGGUCCAGACUCCUACGGGAGGCAGCAGUGGGGAAUUUUGCGCAAUGGACGAAAGUCUGACGCAGCAACGCCGCGUGGGUGAUGAAGGUCUUCGGACUGUAAAACCCUGUCGUCAGGGACGAAGGUGCGCAUGUUAAUAGCGUGUGUACUUGACGGUACCUGGAGAGGAAGCCCCGGCUAACUCUGUGCCAGCAGCCGCGGUAAUACAGAGGGGGCAAGCGUUAUUCGGAAUUAUUGGGCGUAAAGGGCGCGUAGGCGGUUUUUUAAGUCAGAUGUGUAAUCCCCGAGCUCAACUUGGGAACUGCAUCUGAGACUGGAAGGCUAGAGUACUGGAGAGGGUGGUGGAA